rnacentral:rRNA from 1 species
CAAUAGCGUAUAUUAAAGUUGUUGCGGUUAAAAAGCUCGUAGUUGGAUUUCUGCUGAGGACGACCGGUCCGCCCUCUGGGUGAGCAUCUGGUUCGGCCUUGGCAUCUUCUUGGGGAACGUAGCUGCACUUGACUGUGUGGUGCGGUAUCCAGGACUUUUACUUUGAGGAAAUUAGAGUGUUUCAAGCAGGCGCACGCCUUGAAUACAUUAGCAUGGAAUAAUAAGAUAGGACCUCGGUUCUAUUUUGUUGGUUUCUAGAGCUGAGGUAAUGAUUAAUAGGGAUAGUUGGGGGCAUUCGUAUUUAACUGUCAGAGGUGAAAUUCUUGGAUUCGUUAAAGACGGACUACUGCGAAAGCAUUUGCCAAGGAUGUUUUCAUUGA